rnacentral:rRNA from 1 species
UACAGAGGGUGCAAGCGUUAAUCGGAAUUACUGGGCGUAAAGCGCGCGUAGGUGGUUAGUUAAGUUGGAUGUGAAAUCCCCGGGCUCAACCUGGGAACUGCAUUCAAAACUGACUGACUAGAGUGUGGUAGAGGGUGGUGGAAUUUCCUGUGUAGCGGUGAAAUGCGUAGAUAUAGGAAGGAACACCAGUGGCGAAGGCGACCACCUGGACUGAUACUGACACUGAGGUGCGAAAGCGUGGGGAGCAAACAGG